UGGUGCUCUGUGUGUGUGGAAAAGCGUUCUCUGUCUGUAGGGUGGGCCUGGGGAUGUCAGUGCGUGGGCAAAGGUGAGCCGUCAUUUUCCAUGGGCGCACCAAAGGAGAGAUCUCCGAGGACAAGCUGGAUGGAUGAUGGAUGGACUUUACAUAUGCAUUCAUCCAUCUGGCUCAAGGCCAAAAGGUAUCCCUGCAGCAGUAAGAUGUGAACUGUGGGCACUGCAGAAAAAAGGCUGCAGGCCCCCACUCGCAGCUCUUCCGCCGCCGCCGUCACGGAAAAGGGAAGGGAGCAAGCUCCGGCGGCGCGCGGAGCAACCUGACGUUCCACAACAACGCCGGCAGGGUGUUGGUGACGUCACGGCUGCCCUCCUGCAGAUCCCGGGCAUGGUAAAGGCUGCGGCGCUUGCGGCCGUGGCAUUCCGGCCGGUGGUGUCCGCCAUGACCUCGACUAACAGCCGCCCGGAGGCCACGGCAUCGUCGUUCGCCAUCGACGAGCUCGUGUCGCUGCCCUUCGUCAACGUAGCAUCGCACGAUCGCCGUUGUCCGCGAGCACUACGCCGCCGUUCUCAACCAGAUCACCUCCCGAGGCUACCUAGUACCAGAGCGUGGUCCUCCUAUGAGCCCAUCGAGGAAGUCGGCCAGCCGCAUUUUGUAGAGCACCGACCUUGCGAAGCAGCUCGACUCUCCGUGAACUCCAGGAGCCAUUGUCACCAUCUCUAAAUAACAAGCAUGGGAGGAAGAUGAAAGGGAAGAUGGGGAGCGGAGGGAGCAGCCAGAGGUGGAAGAAGGGGGGCAUAGGAAUGGGGUGGAGGGGCGCCGUUUUCUUUACUGGUGUCCGCCGGAGCUCCCUCCCCUCCCUUCCCCACGGCGGCGGCGGGGCAAGCCGCGCAAUUUCCUCCGAGAGGAUCCUACCUGCGCUCGUUAGAAAGGCUAAGGGGAACGAGAAGAAGACGAAAUAAAGGGGAUUAGUGGUUGGCCGUGCGAUUUCAAUUAACGGUGGAUAUGGUGCAGCAAGGCACGCUAUGCUGAAUGUGCAAGGCACUGGCCGUACUAAUUCUUUCUUUUUAUAAGAUGAUACAGUGGAGUAGCUUUGUCUCGAGUCAAAAGAUUGAAACAAGUUUAUAGAAAAAUCUAUUGACAUUUACGACUUGAAAUGUAACUUUUCUUUUAAGAGUGGGCAAUGCAGUGGGAUGCAUUUUUAUGUGA